CGCACAUUCGUUUCAGAAAUAUAGAGAAUAUACGCAUUCAAAUAUUUAGCCUACACAAGUUAUAAGUCAGAUAAUAAACAAAUAAAACAAGUCAUAAGUCAGAUUUAACUCCUAAUUCAAUAAAACACUGAUACUAACUUGGUUGCAGGUUUAAAGUAUAUCAAAAAUACAGCAUUUUCUCUUCCCAAUUACUUCAUAUACGAGUGUUAUAGUCUCCUGUUUAUCAAAUCCACUUUAGUUCAAGAUUUAUUAUGCUUAUAGAGCAAGUCGUCGGUCUAGCCUCGCCGAAGGCCCAAAAAUGCAACACUUCUCAAAGGUGUGAACUUUCAUAAAUGGUUG